rnacentral:rRNA from 1 species
AUUGAACGCUGGCGGCAUGCCUUACACAUGCAAGUCGAACGGUAACGGGCCUUCGGGUGCCGACGAGUGGCGAACGGGUGAGUAAUGCAUCGGAACGUACCUUUCAGUGGGGGAUAACGAAGCGAAAGUUACGCUAAUACCGCAUAUUCUGUGAGCAGGAAAGCAGGGGAUCGCAAGACCUUGCGCUGAUUGAGCGGCCGAUGUCAGGUUAGCUAGUUGGUGAGGUAAAGGCUCACCAAGGCGACGAUCUGUAGCGGGUCUGAGAGGAUGAUCCGCCACACUGGAACUGAGACACGGUUCAGACUCCUACGGGAGGCAGCAGUGGGGAAUUUUGGACAAUGGGGGCAACCCUGACCCAGCCAUGCCGCGUGAGUGAAGAAGGCCUUCGGGUUGUAAAGCUCUUUCGGCCGGGAAGAAAUCGUAUGGGCUAAUACCCUGUGCGGAUGACGGUACCGGCAUAAGAAGCACCGGCUAACUACGUGCCAGCCGCCGCCGUAAUAC